rnacentral:rRNA from 1 species
UACGAAAGGUGCAAGCGUUACUCGGAAUCACUGGGCGUAAAGCGCACGUAGGCGGACUUACAGGUCAAUUGUGAAAUACCUGAGCUCAACUCAGGAACUGCAGUUGAAACCGUUUGUCUUGAAUACCUGAGAGGGUGGGGGAAUACCUGGUGGAGAAGUGAAAUUCGUAGAGAUCAGGUGGAACACCGGAGGCGAAGGCGCCUGCCUGGCAGUGUAUUGACGCUGAGGUGCGAAAGUGCGGGGAGCAAACAGGAUUAGAUACCCUGGUAGUCCGCACCGUAAACGAUGGAUACUAGGCGUUCGGAGAGUUAACCCUCUGAGUGCCAAAGUUCACACAUUAAGUAUCCCGCCUGGGAAGUACGGUCGCAAGACUAAA